UUUUUUUACGUGUGGGUACCGGGUCUCGGCUUCACCUAGGUUCCAACUAACAUAAUAAACAGGAACACAUUGAUGAUUGACAAAGGAACGCAUGCAUGAACUAGGUCCAUGGACAGUGUGCGCAUGUGACUGACAAAAUCAAGAAAAAGGCUUGCACGUGAAAGGGAUAAGUAUAAAUUGUAAUAUUUGAUAUUCCCUGAACGAAAAGGUUCCAUAUUUGAUAAGGAGCAGGACUCCUUACAUGAAGAGAACUCUAUCCCAGGGAAGAGUUAGAAGUUGAAGUUGACUAGAACUCUUCCACCAAGGAAUAGUAAAGUAUUAGAACUCUAUUUAAUAUUUAUAUACUAACUCUAGAAAUAUCUGUAUUGUUCUCUUUUACAGAUGAUGCACACAUACUGAAGUUAAGCAAGAAUUGAGAGCAAAAUAGCAAGGUAUUUUCUAAGUUAUUCCUGUGAGUUUAAAGAGUGUGAUCCUGAACCCGACGCCGAAUGCACAUUUCUUUGGGUUACGCUGCAUGUUGUAGUUUCUCAGUAUAUCGAAGGUCUACCGCAAAUGUUUUAAAUGGUCCAAUGCUCGCAGGGACUUAACUAGCAUAUCAUCAAUAUAAACCUCCAUUGAUUUAUCUAUUUGUUCUUCAAAUAAUCAAUUUACUAGGCGUUGAUAAGUAGCACCAGUAUGUUUUAGUCCGAACAGCAUUACAUGAUAGCAAUAGCGCCGUAUAUAGUGAUAAAUGAAGUCUUUUCCUCAUCCUCCAAGUUUAUUUGUAUUUGAUUGUACCCGGAGAAGGCAUUGAUAAACUAAGGAUCUCAUGGCCAGCUGUGGCAUCGAUCAUGCAAUCGAUAUUCGGCAAAUGAAAGGAAUCUUUAGGGCACGCCUUAUUUACAUCCUUAUAGUCUACUCACAUUUUAAGUUUUUUUCCUUUUUAGGGACUACGACGUUUGCCAACCAUUCGGGAUAUAUUAUCUCCUGGAUGGAUCCUAUAUUGAGAAGUUUUGUUACCUCGUCCUGAAUGAAUGCAUGUUUUACCUUGGACUGGGGUCUUCUCUUCUUUAUUACCAGACGAACUUCAUGUCCAAGCUCAAUCGAUGAGUGGUUAUACCCGGUGGGAUCCCUAUCAUAUCUUGGUGGGACCAAGAAAAACAAUUCAUGUUAUUUAAAAGGAAUUUAACGAGUUUUAUCCUAAGCUCAAGAGUUAACCCCUUGCCCAGGCAUAACUUUUGAUCUGGCAGAUGCUAAAUCAGUAUGAUUUGUUCCAGCUCUUCGACUAUUGACUUUGUUGCAUCAAAAUCAUCAGGGAUUAUGAAAGUUUGAGAUAUCUUAUAAUCCUCAUCCUCCGAAAUUUUCCUGCUCCUCUGAUCGGGCCGAGGCUGGAGACUGUGGUUGCUAUUUGACUUAUUGCUUUCCCUUUGACUCUGGUCCAUUUGUUGAUGAAAGCGUCGAUACUGGUACUACAUCAUCGCUUGCAAACAUUUCUUUGGUCGCGGGUUGUUCACCGUACACCGUUUUAAUUCCUUUUGAUGUUGGGAAUUUCAAGACUUGAUGAAGUGCCGAGGGCACUGCUCUCAUAUUAUAGAUCAAAGCUUUUCGAGCAGUGUAUUUUACCUCAUGUCACCUUCGAUCAUAUGGAACUUUGUUUCUUGGAUAGUCCCGGUCGCAUUUACUAGUGAAACAAUUUCCUUUUUGGUAGAUUCACUUUCCAUUUUGAAAGCGUUAAGUACUCAAGCUGCGGGCACGAUUUGAUCUUGGAGACCGAGUUGUUCUACAAACCAUCAUCGAAUAUGUUUGUUGAGCUGCCUGUAUCAGCUAACACACAUUUAACUUGAAUUUUAUUCAUAAGAUUAGAUAUUACAAUUGCGUCGUUGUGAGGUUGUUUGAUCCCUUUUGCAUCCUCAUCGUUGAAAGGCAAGGUUCUUCCAGUAAUAGUCCCGAGUUUGCUUUUCCCCUGUGAUUGUCACUUUGGUGCAUUUAAUUACUGGACCUUGAGGAAUAUUGACCCCUCCAACGAUCAUCUGAUGUGACUCUUCCAGCUUGUUCUGCCUAUCGAAUCCCUAUUUUUGAAGUUAUUCUUGGCACUAUCACUUAAGAAUUCUCAAAGGUGACCCACAUUGAAUAAACGAGCUACCUCCUCCCUCAGUUGUCUGUAGUCCUUCGUUUUGUGUCCAUGGGUCCAUGAUACAUGCAUAAUUGAUUAGGGUUCCUUUGAGCUUGAUCGAUUUGUAGGGGUCUGGCCAUCUCGUAUUCUUUAUCUGUCCAAUGGCUGACACAAUACCCGAUGCAUCAAUGCUCAAGUUGUAUUGUGAUAGUCGUGGUACUUCUUUGGGAUCGACAUGUUUGUAAAAACCAAUUUUACUCAUGAGCCCUCAGGAGCUCUAUCCUCAAUUAUUUCUUCGGUCAUUUUGAGCGGGAUUACGUCCUCAGUUGCUGCUUUUAUGAUCUGCACUAUAUGGUUGAUACGAGAACAAGCGUAAAGCAGUGUGUGUGUGUGUGUUACGAGAAUCAAUACUAGGCAAUCACUAUUAUCCUUAGCCCCACGGUGGACGUCAAUUGUUUACCCUUAAAAUUGGAUAACAAUUAAACUUAUAAUAUAGUUUUAAGGACAUGUGACUUCACCUAAUAUCAAUUGAUAAAUGUAAAUAUUAGUAAUAGAAAUUAACAAUAAAAUAAAGCAAACUGGUGUUUGAAUGAAAUUUAGCCCUCGAACUCGGAUACUUCAAGCUGAUUGGCAUAAGAACAGUUAAAACUAUAAUCGAGAUGAUGAACAAGAAUAUAAAUUAAAGAGAAGUGUUAUAUUGCUUUGAUAUCUCAGAAUGUAAGUGCCCUACAAAUGAUUGGGACACCUAUGAUUAACUAGUUAACCGUUCUUGAUUUGAUCUGUUCUGAUAUUUCCGCCAUGAUCUCCGAUCAGUCACGGAUAUCUCGCAUUUCUGUUAUUAUGCUACAUUCGAUCUUACUCGAUGCAUGUCUCAUUUGGUCUCAUUCACUAUCGGCCUCGAAUUUCUAACUCGGUACCUUGUCAUCAUGCCUUGAUCCGAUCUAUUACAGAACCGCUCUUCGAUCCUUCACACUGUUCUCGACAAAUCACUUAAAUUUGGUGAGCCCGGUUUUAAUCAUAUACAAACUUUAAAAAAGUAACUUUUCAGCAGAAAUAGCUUUUAAGCCAAAAAUCAAUAAGUUGGGGUUACCCAACUUAUUAUUUUUGGCUUGUUUUAAGCACUUUAUAGCUUUACCAAAUACUAAAAUAACCAAGAGUUGUCAACUGAUACUUAUUUGCCGAAAAUUUACAUUGUAUUACUAGGUAAAAGUUUAAUUCUAUUCAUAUUUACUAUACAUUAAAUCUCGUUGAAUUUUUAAUGUGUUUAAUUUUUUAUAUUUUGACAUUCUUUUAGUGAGAAUUCUGGCUUCGCAACAUAGUCAUAUGUCCAAUUAUGAAAUCUUUUGUAGGAAAAAAAUCUAGAUUUUUAAGCCGUUAUUUAGAAGAUAUCACGUGUGAACAAUAUUUCCUGAAGCAAUAUGUAAGUAACUUUGAAUUGGAUAGGUAAAUAGUACAGUAGUAAAUAUACAAUCAAUGCUAAGUUCAAGCAGUAUGCUCUCUGACUCUUAUUAGUGAAGGACAAAGGACUACUUGAUGUGUAUGUAGCUGCAACAUUUAUAAAUGUCUUUCAUUUAUCAUACCACGUGGUUUUCGUACAUUAUGCCUGUCCAGGGAUACAAAAUUAUAACUUAAUUUAUUGACUAAAGAAAGUACACCACUAAACCUAAGUUAAUAUCAACUUGUAUAUAUUAUGGUUAAAACUUCAUAUAUGCUUGCUUUAAGCCGAUAGUCUAUCGCAUACAACUUUUUGUUUGCAAAAGUUAGGAGUAAAAUUUCAUAUAUACUAUCCUUCCCAAUAUUUACUUGUGGGAUUAUACUAAGUAUAUUGUUAUUGUUGUAUAUAUCUUUAAAAUUCUAUGUUGAAAAAAUUUAAUCACACUCAAUGCUUAUUGUUAAGUGAAACACGUUUUAAUUAGAUAUUCCUAAGUGAUAAAGUAUAUGUAGAAGCCACUUAUAUCAUUGAUUUGGUGCAAAAAUAUCUAACUCUGUCCAAGUUCUUAUGAGAUCUUCAUCUUUGUACUUUGUAUUGGGCAAAUUUGAUUUCUUACGCUCAUAUAUUAUCCGCAUACGGCCUCACUUAAGAAAACAACAUUAUCGUGGUCGACUUAAAUAAGGUCGGCCCUAGUCUAUUAACGGAUUGAGUGACAUAACUCGCUGCAACAUCACAUCAAGCUCUGACACUCGUAUAUCGAGGCCACCAACUCUUGUACUUUCUUUGUAUUAUUUCGAGUAAGCUCACUUGGGAUAUAAAGGGGACCUCCCCCCUUUGUAAAGACUAAUGUGUAUUUCAUUACUUAAAAUAUACAACUCUCUCUCUCUCUCUCUCUCUCUCUCUCUCUCUCUCUCUCUCUCUUGUGCAAAGAUUAUUACNNNNNNNNNNNNNNNNNNNNNNNNNNNNNNNNNNNNNNNNNNNNNNNNUCUCUCUCUCUCUCUCUCUCUCUCUCUCUCUCUCUCUCUCUCUCUCUCUCUCUCUCUCUUGUGCAAAAAAACCUAUUGCACAUCUUACUGCUCUUAUAUCUCGAUUUCUAUAUCAUAGUCACGGAUCUCAAUCAUCUGACGUUCUCUAGAUCAUAUUACUCUUGAUUCUGAUUAACGCAUAUCAUUUUUUGAUUGUUUUAAUGCUAUUUAAGUAUCGAAUAACUUUUUAGCCAAACAAUUUGGCGCCGUCUGUGGGGAUUUCGGGAAUCAAAGCUGUAGUUUGUUCCAGAGAUCCUUCGAAAAACGACUCUCUACAACCUAAAAUGGCUGAGAACAAUGCAAGAAGAUGCCCUGCACACAACCCCCAAUACUUUGAUUGGCGUGGAAGCCUUACCCUCCUCAUCAGAAGACCUGGUGAUACCACGAGAACGAGAAGCUUCAACAUCUACCACUAAGGAAGCACCCUGGAGAUAAAAAAAAUUACUAGAAGAGUGGCUGGCACUAUGAGCAGUCUAGCUAAGAAGCCACCUCAAAAUGAUAGAUUCACCCCAGCAGCAGAUCAUAUCGCAACCGAGGAUAAGCUCGAGGUCACAAGAACAAAUAACGUACCCGUUGAUGUCCAAGCUAAAGACGGAACACUCACAACCAUCCUCAAAAAGAUGGAAGAAAUGGAAAAUGGGAAUAGGUCGCUCCGCGACCAAAUGAAGGAAAACCAAGAAAGGGCGGAUAAGAUCCCAGGCGUGCCUAAGUUGCUACCAAAGCGAGACAUGGGGAGAUUUGUUGAACAACCCUACACAAAAGGAACCACACCAUGGCCCACCAAGGCCGCCCUCACCAACAUGCACCAUCAAGAUGAUCAUUGGAGAUGGCAAUGAUUCAGUGAUUAAUCACAUCAAAUUCACAACCACCCACAAGCUAAAGCAAACUAUCGCUCACGAACGGUAUGAUGACUUCGAAGAUAGUAUCACCUUCGAUAAGUCUUAUGCCGAGGUUUGUGUUUUCCUCAUUAUGAUGCCUUAUUUAUUACUUUACGCAUAGUAGAUACUGAUGUUAAAUGGAUCAUGGUUGACGACGGUAGCGGCGUAUUUAUCAUUCAUCCAAGAGUCCUUGUGCUUAUGGGACUUGAGGAUAAGAUAAUUCCACGCUGCAUAACACUAACUGGUUUUAAUAAUGUAGUGAAAGAACCUCUUGCGAGGUAACACUGCCCGUUCUGGUGGGAGGAGUUACGAUGGAAACCACUUUCCACGUAAUGAACCAAGAAACGACAUACAACGCCAUUAUAGGACGCUCGUGGAUACAUGCCAUGAGGGUUGUCCCCACAACGCGUUACACUAACUGGUUUUAAUAAUGCAGUGGAAAGAACCUCAGGCGAGGUGACGCUGCCCAUUCUUGUAGGUGGGGUCACGAUGGAAACCACCUUCCAUGUGAUGAACCAAGAAACGGCAUACAAUGCCAUUAUCGGACGCCUGUGGAUACAUGCCAUGAGAGCUGUCCCCUCCAGCUUCUACCAAGUGAUCAAAUUCCCAACCCCAUGGGGAGCACAACAUACGGGGAGAGCUCCGCAGCGUCCAAGAAUGCUAUAAGAUAGCCCACGAUUACACACAUACCAAGCAGCUCCAAGGAGCAAGUGCAGAAGCAUAGCAAUCAGCCAUGUCGGGGACUAAGGUUCAUCCGACAGAGAAUGCCAUCAAAGAUCCUGAGGUAGGUCGAGGCUAGCAAGACUACGGUCGAAGACCUCGAACCCGUUCAGUUAAAUAGCAGCGACCCCGCAAAGAAAUUUACAUAGUCCACAGCCUAUCAAACCCAGGUCAGUACCAUGAAUUUUUAUCUAACCAUGUGGACCUGUUCACUUUUUCUAAUGCAGAGAUGCCGGGAAUUCCAUGAGAAAUUGCCUCCCACAAACUCAACGUCGACCCAUUUCACCCGCACGUUCGGCAGAUAAGAAGAAAAUUCAACGCCGCCAUUAACGAAGCAGUGAGCGAGAAGGUGGAAAAGCGGCUAGCUAAUGGCUCCAUCAGGGAAUCCAAGUACCCGGAAUGGGUCCCCAACAUCGUAAUGGUAAAAAAGAAGAAUGGGAAGUGGCGGAUGUGCGUAGAUUUCACUAAUAUAAAUAAAGCAUGCCUGAAGGAAUCUUUCCCGCUACCCUACAUCGACCAGCUGAUAGACGCAAUAGCAGGCCAUGAGAUGCUAAGCUUCCUUGAUGUGUAUUCCGGCUAAAAUCAAAUCAUGAUGGCCGAAGAAGAUCAGGAAAAGAUAACUUUCAUCACCCACUAGGGUACGUAUUGCUAUAAAGUAAUGCCCUUCGAGCUCAAGAAUGCAGGGGCUACUUACGAGAGGCUGGUGAUGACAAUGUUCAAAGAACAACUCGACAAAACAAUGGAGGUCUACAUCGAUGACAUGUUGGUCAAAUCAUCAAAAAAGGAGGACCAUCUCACCCACCUGAAGGGAGACUUUGAAAUACUAAGGAAGUACGACAUGAAACUGAAACCCCAGAAGUGUGCUUUUGAAGUAGCUUCAGGAAAGUUCCUGGGAUUUUUGGUAUCACAAAGGGGCAUCGAAGUCAACCCUGACCAGAUCACAGCCAUAGAGGCAGAAGUACGACAUGAAACUGAACCCUGAGAAGUGCGCUUUUGGAGUAGCAUCAGGAAAGUUCCUGGGAUUUUUGGUAUUACAAGGGGGCAUAGAAGUCAACCCUGACCAGAUGAAAGCCAUAGAGGCCAUUCCAGAAAUGCUAAGCAGCAAGAAGCAGGUGCAGAAAUUAACGAGCCGAAUAGCCGCCCUCUCCCGGUUCAUCUCACACUCCUCCGACAGGUGCCACAAGUUCUUUGGUGUACUGAAAAAAGACCAGAGACUGCAGUGGAAUGAAGAAUGCGUAGAAGACCUGAGGAACUUAAAAGCAUACUUAUCAUCACCGCCCUUACUGGUAAAAGCCAACCACGGUGAACCAUUGUUGAUAUAUUUGGUUGUAUCAGAGGUCGCAGUAAGCGCCGUCCUAGUGCGCGAAAAUAAAGGUAUGCAAUCUCCUAUUUAUUACAUCAUCAAAACUUUAGUGGAAGCCUAAACCUGAUAUCCCCACCUUGAGAGAUUAGCCUUAGCACUUGUAGUAGCUUCACGGAAGCUACGACCGUAUUUCCAAUGCCAUCCCAUAAGGGUGGUGACGACCUUCCCUCUAAGGAGCGUCCUACACAAACCCUAACUCUCAAGGCGACUCGCCAGACCCAAGAACCGCCAUCAAGUCGCAAGUCUUAGCUGACUUUAUCGCCGACUUCAGCGCGGAAGUCUCCAUACGGGUGGUGAUGACAUUCCCUCUAUGGAGCGUCCUACACAAACACGAACUCUCAGGGCGACUCGCCAGAUGGGCCGUCGAGCUAAACGAUCAUGAUAUUAUGUACCUCCCAAGAACCGCCAUCAAGUCACAAGUCUUAGCUGACUUUAUCGGCGACUUCAGCGCGGAAGUCCUGCCAAAGGCGGAACUUGAGGCACAACGCGCACCCUCCGAAAAUGACCUAUGGAUCCUUUAUACGGAUGGCGCCACCAAUACAUCGGGAUCGUGACUGGAAAUCUUGAAGUCCCCACGGGCGAAACAAUUCGCCAGUACAUACGAUGCCCGAAAAUGACUAACAACGAGGCCGAGUACGAGGCCGUUAAUGCAGGCAUGAAGCUGGGCACCAAGUAUGAAGCUCGUUGAAUUCUCCUCCACUACGACUCCCAGCUUGUGGUAAACCAGAUCAGUUGGACUUAUCAAAUCAAGGAGCAGAGGUUACAAAAGUACCAGUCAGAAAUCCACAAGUUUAUGGCUACAUUCGACGAAUGCCGCUUCGAACAAAUUCCCAAAGCAUGGAAUAUCGAAGCGGACUACCUGGCAAAGUUGGCCGUCGCCACCAAAAGCAUCAACAAAGAGAGUGUGGUCACACUCCUCCACUCAACUAUUGAUCACACUGAGGUACUUUCCUUAAACCUGACUUGGGAGUGGCGCAACCAGUUCAUAUCUUACUUGCAGGACGGGAUACUUACCCUGAUAAAAAAAGAGGCAAAAAAGCUCCGCGUACAGGCCUCCCGAAACUGCAUGAUCAACGACGACCUUUAUAAAUUGACGUUCGGUGGCCCCUUAGCCAAAUGCUUAGGACCGCAACAAGCAAUACCUGUACUCGAAAAAGUACAUGAAGGAAAUUGCGGCGCCCACACUGGCAACCGCGCCCUCGUUAGGUGCAUCAUACGCGCCGGCUACUAUUGGCCCACCAUAAAGAAAGAGACAGCGGAGUAUGUCCGCCGAUGCGAGCAGUGCCAAAAGUUCGCCCCAAUGAUACACCAACCAGAAGAACGCCUCCAUUCUGUCACAUCCCCCUAGCCAUUCAUCAAGUGGGGGUGGAUAUAAUCGACAUGCUACCCCCAGGACGAGGAAAGGUACUAUUUUUACUUGUUUUAACUAGCAGAAUAUGUCCGCCGAUACGAGCAGUGCCAAAAGUUUGCCCCAAUCAUACACCAACCAGGAGGAUCCCUCCAUUCCGUCACAUCCACCUGGCCAUUCAUCAAGUCGGGGAUGGAUAUAAUCGGCCCGCUACCCCCAGGAAAAGGAAAGGUACGAUUUUUAUUUAUUUUAACUGACUAUUUCUCUAUGUGGGUGGAAGCAGGCGCGUACACACAAAUACGUGAGCAAGAAGUCAUCACCUUUAUUUGGAGGAACAUCAUAUGUCGUUUUGGCAUCCCCAAAGAAAUCAGCUGCGAUAAUGGGCGCCAGUUCGUCGGUCAGAAAACGAUCGAGUUCUUCGAAAAAUGGCGCAUCAAAAGGAUACUGUCCACGCCAUACCACCCCGCCGCUAACGGUCAAGCGGAGUCCUACAACAAAACAAUUCUGAACAUACUCAAAAAGAAGCUCGAAGAUGCCAAGGGGCUAUGGCCCAAACUACUACCCGAAGUCUUAUGGGCGCACAGAACCACGCCCAAAUCCAACACCGUAGAAACCGCACACUCACUGGUUUAUGGAACCAACGAAGUCAUACCCGUCGAAGUGGGCGACCCAGCUUAAGGUACUCACACACCAGCAGAACAGAAAAUGACAUCAGCACGCUCCAAGAUCUUGAUGAAGCUGAAGAAAGAAGACAAAUGGCCACGUCAGAAUGGUAGCCCAAAACAACAAGUCGAAAGAUACUACAACAAAAGGGCAAAAAUAAGGCCGCUCAAAGUAAAGGAUUACGUCAUCAAAGCCAAAACUCUGGCCUCAAAAGACCCAAGUGAAGGAAAAUUGGGUCUGAAUACAUGAAUCACCAUGCAUAGCCCGAAGCGAACUGAACUGGCUGACCUACAAAACCUACUGGGAUGGACCCUACAAAAUCACGGCGGCCGCCGGGAAAGGAGCAUUCCAGCUAGAGACAAUGGAAGGAAAGACACUCCAAAACAACUGGAACANNNNNNNNNNNNNNNNNNNNNNNNNNNNNNNNNNNNNNNNNNNNNNNNNNNNNNNNNNNNNNNNNNNNNNNNNNNNNNNNNNNNNNNNNNNNNNNNNNNNNNNNNNNNNNNNNNNNNNNNNNNNNNNNUUCUAAAAAGGUGACACCUGAGUCGUACUCUUUUUCCCUUACCCGAGUUUUGUCCCAAUUGGGUUUUCUUGGGAAGGUUUUUAACGAGGCGGAAAAGAGGUCACCUGGAGAUGUUUGUAGCGCAAGUUCAUCAUGUCCACCUCACCAUGUACUCUCCAAGCCAGACAUGAUACAGGGACUGGAUUAGUGUCAUCUCCAGAUAUAUAGAAAGGCUACGGCCACCUCCAAGUUUAUAGAAAGGCUACGGCCAUCUCCAGAUGUAUAAAAAGGCUACGGCCAUCUCCAGAUGUAUAAAAAGGCUACGGCCAUCUCUAGAUGUAUAAAAAGGCUACAGCCAUCUCCAAAUGAACAAAAAGGCUACGGCCAUCUCCAGAUGUAAAAAAGGCUACGACCAUCUCCAAAUGAACGAAAAGGCUACCGCCAUCUCCAAAUGAACGAAAAGGCUACAGCCAUCUCCAAAUGAAUGAAACGGCUAUGGACAUCUCCAAAUGAGUAGGCCACGGCCUUUAUUCCACAUGGCUAUGGCCAUCGUUUUAUAUGGCUAAGGCCAUUAGGCUACGGCCUUUACUUCACAUGCCUAAGGCCAUUAGGCUACGGUCUUUAUUUACAUGGCUAUGGCUAUCGUUUUAUAUGGCUAAGGCCAUUAGGCUACUGCCUUUAUUUUACAUGGCUAUGGCCAUCGUUUUAUAUGGCUAAGGCAUUAGGAUACGUCCAUUAUUUUACAUGGCUAUGGCCAUCGUUUUAUAUGGUUAAGGCCAUUAGGCUACGACCUUUAUUUCACGUGGCUAUGGCCAUCGUUUUCAUCGGGCUACGGCCUUUAUCUUUACAUGGCUAUGGCCAUCGUAUUCUCAAGGCUACGGCGCCUAUUUUGUAUGGCUAAAACCAUCAGGCUAGUUUUACACGGCUAUGGCCGACAAAUUCUAAGCAGCUACGGUAAAGAAAAGUACGACGACAUGCCAAAAGGUAGAAAAGAUUACUUACAACAAAAAUUAUAUGUUUUUACCAAAGGGGACAAGCAUCCAUGAUAUAAAAAUCAGUAUAUACACGCAUAUAUACAAAAACCCUAAGAGACCACUACUUAUCAAACCUGGCCCGGCCCUCGGGUGGCCCGUCCUCAUUACCUGGAGGGUACGCCCUGGAAAUCCAAGAGCUGGAUUCCAAGCGAUUUACCUGGCCCUCAGGUGGCCCGUCCUCAUUUCCGGGAAGGGUACGCCCUAGAAAUCCAAGAGCUAGAUUCCAAGAGAUUGACGUCCGCAGAGUUGCCCCCCUCCCGGACUGGUAAUUAAGGACAAUAGCCAGCCGGCUCACAAGCGACUCUAACCAAUUGGUGCUGGUUCUCAACCUCCGCUUCAAACGCUCGACCAGCCGCCAGGAAUUCCUCAAGCACAACCAGCCUUACCUCCGCAUACACCCAUAUCUCGUGCGCUUCACCAGACGUAUCGGCUUGUGCGAGAGCUAGCUUGAGCUCCUCGACCUCGGCCUUUGCAACAUUGAGUUCCUCCGAUAAAGCCGCAACCCGGGUGCGCAAUUCUGCCGCCUCCUCCUCCACAACAUGACCAAGCUGCAGCUCCUCGUCCUUGGCCUGGAUAAGGACCUCCAUCUCUACAGCCCGAGCAACAGCGGCCAUGAGCUGUUCAUCAACCUUUUCCAGCUCGGCCACUCUUUUCUUCAAUUGAUCCUCGGACUCCACUAGGCCUUCACGAACCGCCCUAAAGUUGGGGUCCUGCUUGUACAUAUCGGCCAAGGUCCGGUGCACCCCACGCGUCCUAUUGUACUUCUGUGCCAGCCUGUUGUAUCUGGCCCAUCUUCUCCUUCCGGCGACGAUCACUCUCCACCUCUAAGACAAGAUUCUGGAAAAGAAACCAAAUAAGUACGGGAAAAUCAUAACUCUACUAACACAAAAAGAAAGGUCAUCAAGCAAGGCAAAGGCAUACCUGUAAGGCUGCACCUGCCACCCCUUGGGCCAAGACUUUAUCACUAAGUUCCGCAUGGGUCACAUGCUCGGCACCGGCGCACAAGAGCGUCAUACUGGAGGCCACCUCCUCACAGUUCUCCAACAAAUUAUAGUAACUUGGGAUCACUAUGCGACGAGAAGAUUGGCCAGCCGCCAUCUCCACCCGGUCCAAAGACCCACUUCCUCUAUUUGCACCCUUGUCCAUGCCCCCGAGCCCGCCACGUCCACAUCUUCACUUCUCCUUGUUGCGGUCUCCUUCCUAAGAUUAGCCCUCCCUGAGCGAAUAGCCUCUACCAUAAAAGCCGGCCCUGAUUCAGGGCGGGAUGGCCUAGCCUUUCCCGUCUGGGUAGCCACAGCGUUGCCAGUAAGAAUCCGACGUUGCCUCCUCUCCAACGUCUUCUCUUCUUCACGGUCCCUCUCCGCGGGAUGCAGUGAGGGCUCGGGGGGUCGGCUCGGCAGAAGGCGUCCCUAUGGGGUCAAUCUCAGGAACAGCCACCAGCACCUCCAUGGGCGUUGUCUCAGGUACGACCCCCAUCAUGGCCUCAGAUACUAUCUCUGGGCCGCUUCUAAUGCACCCUCCUGUCUUGAGGGGGCGAAGUACUGCCCCUAGAUGUGCCAACGAAGACCAGAUCUUCCUCAGGAUCAGAUACCAUCCUAGAAGGACCGGCCACAGUCUUCUUCUUCUGCUGCUGCUGCUUCUUCUUCUUCUGCGCCUUCUUAGAGGCGUCCCGACCUGCCAAAACAUGUGUGAGACGGGCAAGAAAAUUAUGGGAGCCCCCAAACCAUAACGAAAAUUAGAAAAGGUUGUUACCUGCCGUGCCGUAGAGCCUAAGGAAUUCAGGCCAGGAACGCCUUUCUUUUGCAAACGGUAUCAGCGCUUGCACCCACGACCUAAUGUCGUCAACCCUUCGAGGAGGGCGAGCUGCCACUGCAUGAAAACAAAAGGAAACUUUCAACAAUGAAAACCAGCAAAGUAAGGCGAAAAUAGUAAACAUCACGCAUGGCAAUACUUACAGCGUCAUUCCACACCUCUGGAAAUCCUUCGAGGUUGGACACAAGGUGCUCGGUACGCAUGUAGAAAAACCUCGUCCAGAAUUUACAGUUGGCCUUUUCAUCACCCGCGACACCAAGCUCUUCUUGCCCCUACUCCUCAACUGGAGCAUCGAGCCUCUCAUGAAAACCGCAUUGAACAUCCGCAGAAGGUGAUGAACGACCACCUCUUUUUCGGCCUUCACGGCAUUGAUGGAUAAUACCCUGCACACCUUCAAGGCGUACGGGGUAAGUUGGGUUGCAGAAGGUGAUGAACGGUCACCUCUUUUCCGCCUUCGCCGCGUAAGAUGGAUAAUACCAUGCACACCUUCAAGGCGUAUGGGGUAAGUUGGGCUGGGCAUGCUCAAAACCAGCGACACAGCUCUUCCGCUAAAGGGUAAAUCGGAAGGGUGUAUCCAAUUCGAAAGGCGUACCCCUAGAAGGCACAGUACCAGGCCUUAGGCACGUUAACAUGGUCUAGCCCCGCGGGAACCAUGUCAACAUGAUCGGGAAUAUCGUACGACUUCCAGAGAGAGGCCAAGUGGGACAACAUCAUCUCACUAUGCUCCCAAAGAGGGAGUUUACACUUGUUCAUAAAGUCGCUCCUUUUGCUCAUAUCGCGUGGGACCAAAUUUGCCGUUGAUAGAGGAAAAAAAACUUUCUCGGCCUCCUCGCCGUUCGAGGAUGACGAAGCCCUAGUGGAAGCAACGUCCCUGGUCCUAGUGUCAUCAUGUCGACGUUUAGCCAUAGUGAAUGCUAUAAGAAAAAGGUAUUGCGGGUCACAAGUUCGAUUCCUAAGAAUGAGAACUUCAGAGAAGAAAGAACAACGAGCACCAGGAAAAGAUAGGGAAAAGAUUGGGAAAAUACUCUCCGAAAAGGUUCGAAAGAUGAACCUAGUCCAACUCUCCUCUAUUUAUAAGAAAAGGUACACGGAAACUGAAAGGGCAAGAUUCAAAAAUCGGUGCAGGAAACCCAAACAUCAUGUCAUAACCUGCACCUCGGGAGCAGAAGUAAUGAUCACGCGUGUGAUCGAGGACGUCACCAUAAAAAGAAAUUCCAAAAAUGGGGUAACAUGUCUACGGCUUGACCUCUUCACACACGAGCGCGUCUCUCACAAGGGUAUCAACAGGAACGACCAAAUUUCCGUAGGCGUCGAUCACGUAUGUCCGUCCAUUGAAAACGCCUUUCGGCUGCGUCCCCAAUAAACGGAGGGACUAUCUGUAUUGGACAAAUUUGGUUUCCUACGCCCAUAUAUUAUCCCCAUACGGCCUCACUAAAGAAAGCGGCCUUAUUGUGGUUGACUUAAGUAAGGCCGGCCCCAGUCAAUAAACGGACCGAGUGACAUGACUCGCUGCAACGUCACAUCAAGCUCAGACACUCGUAUACCGAGACCACCAACCCUUGUACUUUUUUUGUAUUAUUUCGAGGAAGGUCCCUUAGUAUAUAAAAGAACACUCGUAUAUCGAGGUCACCAACUCUUGUACUUUCUUUGUAUUAUUUCGAGGAAUAUCUGUUAGUAUAUAAAGGGGACCUCCCCCUCUGUAAAGACUCAUGUGUAUUUCAUUACUAAAAAUAUACAACUCUCUCUCUUGUGCAAAACACCCUACUGUACAUCUUACUGCUCUUAUAUCUCGAUUUUUAUAUCAUAGUCACUAAUCUCAAUUAUGUAACAUUUUCUAGAUCAUAUUACCCUUAAUUCCGAUUGACCCAUAUCAUUUUUUGAUUGUUUUAAUGAUAUUUAAGUAUUGGAAACUUUUUAGCCAUACUUUUUCCAGAGCCAUAAUGAAAGACGACAGUAACCGUAUUUGUUUGGAUCUUAAAGAAAUUAAGAAAUUCGGAAAAUUCUUGCAUCUCAAAGUAUAAAGAAAUUACACAACUUAUUAGCAACAUAACACAGACUCAAUGAAAUAUAUUAUGAUCAUCAGAAGCAAUUUGGAGAGCUAAGAAAAAUUGGAGAAAAUAUAAGGCAUCAUAUCAAAAAUAAAGUAAAAUAAAAUUAAAAGAAAAAAAAGGACUAUAGUACAUAGAAACAACUUGCAUUUAUUAAAAAGAGAAACAUAUUGCAUUCACAACCAUUCAUUCCAAUAUAUCAAACACCCGACCCUUUUUACAUGCCCAAAAGACCAGUCAACUCAUCUUAAAUCAUUCUAAUAAUCCUCAUAACUCAUAAUAUUACUCAGAUCUACUGCUCAUAUGGCUUAAAAUAAAGUAACAAUAAAACCAAAUAAUAAUACUAGUAAUAAAAUAACCCUUCCCUUCUUCCUUCCACUCAUCAUCACAACCACCAUUAAUUUCAAUUUACCACCAUUAAAACAGUUAAU
rnacentral:lncRNA from 1 species